GGGAGACAGCAUCGUUUACUGACUGUGUGGCCACCUGUUAUUGUUUGCAUUCACCAUACCAGGCGGUGCGGACAGUCUGGGUGGCGUAAAUAGCGCGGGAAGGGAGGUCUCGCCCUCACUCCAUUCUCGACACGGCCCGCGAUUCAGCGGCUCCACGCUCAGCGCCGCGCCUCAUCGACACGUGGGCCAGUACUCUAUACUGCAUCUCAAGUCUGUGUACACGAGAUUUCUCAAGCAAAUGGACCCCAUCCACGCUACUAUGGUCCCAGAUCUGACGUUCUCUGAUCCUUUGGGGCAUUCGACAUCCCAGGCCGGUACGGCAGGGGCUCCCUGCCCUACUCAGCAAACCUUAAGUGGCGAGAAGCCGGAUCACGCAGCAACUGCAACACGGAAGAGGGCUCGGGCUGCGACGUGCGAGGACAACAGCGCAGUGGUGUGAGGACGCAGCCGGCCUGGGCCAGGACGAAACCCGCCCGUUUCGCCUCCCCCUCCUCGGUGGCCUCCUCGGGCGGCUCUGAUGUGGACGGCGACCACACUUCCCAGAGGCCCCCUGCCUCCACCUCUUUCGGCCGACGAUUGGACGACGCUGCAGGCGCCCAUCGCGCAGGCUCGGGGGCCCUCUUAUGUCACAAGCCUUCUGGGCAUGGGGACCACCGAGGCCGACCCUGCCCCCCACUUUCACUGACCGUCGCCCACAGGCCAGGGCCAGGGGGGCAUAAGUCGAGGCGACGUGCGAGCUCCUCCAGUCUGUCCUCCUUCCUUCCCAGUUCGGUAGCGUAGUUGCUCUGCCACCCUGAGGUUUUCCCUCGCGGCCAGUGGGCACUCGCCCUUCGGGGGUGGUGGGUCCGGCCUGCG